GACGAACGCUGGCGGCGUGCUUAACACAUGCAAGUCGAACGGUGAAGGGAUCAGCUUGCUGGUUCUGGAUGAGUGGCGAACGGGUGAGUAACACGUGAGUAACCUGCCCCCUUCUUCUGGAUAACCGCAUGAAAGUGUGGCUAAUACGGGAUAUUCUGGGUCUGUCGCAUGGCGGGUCUGGGAAAGAUGCGCCUUUGGGUGUUUUUGGUGGGGGAUGGGCUCGCGGCCUAUCAGCUUGUUGGUGGGGUGAUGGCCUACCAAGGCGGUGACGGGUAGCCGGCCUGAGAGGGUGGACGGUCACACUGGGACUGAGACACGGCCCAGACUCCUACGGGAGGCAGCAGUGGGGAAUAUUGCACAAUGGGCGCAAGCCUGAUGCAGCGACGCCGCGUGAGGGAUGGAGGCCUUCGGGUUGUAAACCUCUUUCGCCAGUGAAGCAGGCCUGCUCCUUGU
rnacentral:rRNA from 1 species